GAUCCUGGCUCAGAUUGAACGCUGGCGGCAUGCCUUACACAUGCAAGUCGAACGGCAGCACGGGAGCAAUCCUGGUGGCGAGCGGCGAACGGGUGAGUAAUAUAUCGGAACGUGCCCAGUAAUGGGGGAUAGCCCGGCGAAAGCCGGAUUAAUACCGCAUACGACCUACGGGUGAAAGCGGGGGAUCGCAAGACCUCGCGUUAUUGGAGCGGCCGAUAUCAGAUUAGCUUGUUGGUGGGGUAAAAGCCCACCAAGGCGACGAUCUGUAGCUGGUCUGAGAGGACGACCAGCCACACUGGGACUGAGACACGGCCCAGACUCCUACGGGAGGCAGCAGUGGGGAAUUUUGGACAAUGGGCGCAAGCCUGAUCCAGCCAUGCCGCGUGUGGGAAGAAGGCCUUCGGGUUGUAAACCACUUUUGUCAGGGAAGAAACGGUUCGAUCUAAUACAUUGGACUAAUGACGGUACCUGAAGAAUAAGCACCGGCUAACUACGUGCCAGCAGCCGCGGUAAUACGUAGGGUGCAAGCGUUAAUCGGAAUUACUGGGUGUAAAGCGUGCGCAGGCGGCUUUGCAAGACAGAUGUGAAAUCCCCGGGCUCAACCUGGGAACUGCAUUUGUGACUGCAUGGCUAAAGUACGGUAGAGGGGGAUGGAAUUCCGCGUGUAGCAGUGAAAUGCGUAGAUAUGCGGAGGAACACCGAUGGCGAAGGCAAUCCCCUGGACCUGUACUGACGCUCAUGCACGAAAGCGUGGGGAGCAAACAGGAUUAGAUACCCUGGUAGUCCACGCCCUAAACGAUGUCAACUGGUUGUUGGACGGCUUGCUGUUCAGUAACGAAGCUAACGCGUGAAGUUGACCGCCUGGGGAGUACGGCCGCAAGGUUGAAACUCAAAGGAGUUGACGGGGACCCGCACAAGCGGUGGAUGAUGUGGUUUAAUUCGAUGCAACGCGAAAAACCUUACCUACCCUUGACAUGUCUAGAAGUUUCCAGAGAUGGAUUCGUGCUCGAAAGAGAACUAGAACACAGGUGCUGCAUGGCCGUCGUCAGCUCGUGUCGUGAGAUGUUGGGUUAAGUCCCGCAACGAGCGCAACCCUUAUCAUUAGUUGCUACGCAAGGGCACUCUAAUGAGACUGCCGGUGACAAACCGGAGGAAGGUGGGGAUGACGUCAGGUCAUCAUGGCCCUUAUGGGUAGGGCUACACACGUCAUACAAUGGCCGGUACAGAGGGCUGCCAACCCGCGAGGGGGAGCUAAUCUCAGAAAACCGGUCGUAGUCCGGAUCGCAGUCUGCAACUCGACUGCGUGAAGUCGGAAUCGCUAGUAAUCGCGGAUCAGCUUGCCGCGGUGAAUACGUUCCCGGGUCUUGUACACACCGCCCGUCACACCAUGGGAGCGGGUUCUGCCAGAAGUAGUUAGCCUAACCGCAAGGGGGGCGAUUACCACGGCAGGGUUCGUGACUGGGGUGAAGUCGUAACAAGGUA
rnacentral:rRNA from 1 species